rnacentral:misc_RNA from 1 species
AAAGUGCGAUAAGUAGUGUGAAUUGCAGAAUUUGUGAAUCAUCGAAUCUUUGAACGCAAGUUGCGGUUUUCUUUCGAAAACCAUGUUUGGCUGAGGGUUGUUUCACACACAUUGAGGCUCGUGUUUCUCUCACAAGGAGAAACUCCCUUUAAAUGAUGAAACAAGAGGCAGUCUUUCUGUAUAAAGACUCUUGCAAGAUCAUUGCAUAUCAAUAAAAGGCAAGAGUGAGAAUCCGUCAAACGAUUCUUGCUUGCUUAUAACGCUUUUUGUUGUGUUGCUGGUUGUUUUGCUCGAGCCGGCUGUACAGGCAAUAUAAAGAAUGUCCAUCUUAAGAUUUUUUGUUCUCGUCGAAAGGCUUGAAUGAAAAGCAUUAAUUAAACGCAACCUCAGAUCAAGCAAG